UACGUAGGGUGCGAGCGUUAAUCGGAAUUACUGGGCGUAAAGCGUGCGUAGGCGGUUUUGUAAGUUUGGUGUGAAAUCUCCCGGCUCAACUGGGAGGGUGCGCCGAAAACUGCAAGGCUGGAGUAUGGGAGAGGUAGGCGGAAUUCCUGGUGUAGCGGUGAAAUGCGUAGAUAUCAGGAGGAACACCUGUGGUGUAGACGGCUUACUGGACCAUGACUGACGCUGAGGCACGAAAGCGUGGGGAGCAAACAGG
rnacentral:rRNA from 1 species